AUCGAACGCUGGCGGCAUGCCUAACACAUGCAAGUCGGGCGACCGGCAGACGGGCGCGGAAUGUAUGCGGAUCUGCCUGAUGGAGGGGGAUAACUACUGGCAACGGUAGCUAAUACCGCCUACUAUCAGAUGAUCCCAUAUGGGUGUAGCUUGUAGGUGGGGUAACGGCUCACCUAGGCGACGAUCCCUAGCUGGUCUGAGAGGAUGAUCAGCCACACUGGGACUGAGACACGGCCCAGACUCCUACGGGAGGCAGCAGUGGGGAAUAUUGCACAAUGGGCGCAAGCCUGAUGCAGCCAUGCCGCGUGUAUGAAGAAGGCCUUCGGGUUGUAAAGUACUUUCAGUCGGGAGGCGUUACCGACAGAAGAAGCACCGGCUAACUCCGUGCCAGCAGCCGCGGUAAUUC
rnacentral:rRNA from 1 species